rnacentral:rRNA from 1 species
GGUAGAGGGAAUUCCCAGUGUAGCGGUGAAAUGCGUAGAGAUUGGGAAGAACACCGGUGGCGAAAGCGCUCUACUGGCUCGCACCUGACCCUCAGGGACGAAAGCUAAGGUAGCGAAAGGGAUUAGAUACCCCUGUAGUCUUAGCCGUAAACGAUGGAUACUAGGCGUGGUUUGUAUCGACCCAAGCCGUGCCGAAGCUAACGCGUUAAGUAUCCCGCUUGGGGAGUACGCACGCAAGUGUGAAACUCAAAGGAAUUGACGGGGGCCCGCACAAGCGGUGGAGGAUGUGGUUUAAUUCGAUGCAACGCGAAGAACCUUACCAGGGCUUGACAUCCCGCGCAUCCCCAUGAAAGUGGGGAGUGCCUUCGGGAACGCGGAGACAGGUGGUGCAUGGCUGUCGUCAGCUCGUGCUCGUGAGAUGUUGGGUUAAGUCCCGCAAGCGAGCGCAACCUUCGUCUUUAGUUGCCAGCAUUAAGUUGGGAACUUUAGGGAGACUGCCGGUGACAAACCGGAGGAAGGUGAGGAUGACGUCAAGUCAGCAUGCCCCUU